rnacentral:rRNA from 1 species
CUACGUGCCAGCAGCCGCGGUAAUACGUAGGGUGCGAGCGUUAAUCGGAAUUACUGGGCGUAAAGCGGGCGCAGACGGUUACUUAAGCAGGAUGUGAAAUCCCCGGGCUCAACCUGGGAACUGCGUUCUGAACUGGGUGACUAGAGUGUGUCAGAGGGAGGUAGAAUUCCACGUGUAGCAGUGAAAUGCGUAGAGAUGUGGAGGAAUACCGAUGGCGAAGGCAGCCUCCUGGGAUAACACUGACGUUCAUGCCCGAAAGCGUGGGUAGCAAACAGGAUUAGAUACCCUGGUAGUCCACGCUGUAAACGAUGUCGAUUUGGAGGUUGUGCCCUUGAGGCGUGGCUUCCGGAGCUAACGCGUUAAAUCGACCGCCUGGGGAGUACGGCCGCAAGGUUAAAACUCAAAUGAAUUGACGGGGGCCCGCACAAGCGGUGGAGCAUGUGGUUUAAUUCGAUGCAACGCGAAGAACCUUACCUGGUCUUGACAUCC